ACUAACAGCCAUAUCACCCUGCAGCCCAUGACCGGUUACUCACUGAAGCUAAGCAGGGCUGAGCCUGGUUAGUACCUGGAUGGGAGACCACUAGGGAACACUAGGUUGCUGUUGGAA
rnacentral:rRNA from 1 species